rnacentral:rRNA from 1 species
ACGCUCGACACCUACGGGAGGCAGCAGUGGGGAAUAUUGCACAAUGGGGGAAACCCUGAUGCAGCGACGCCGCGUGGAGGAAGAAGGUCUUCGGAUUGUAAACUCCUGUUGUUGGGGAAAAAGAGGAUGGUACCCAACAAGGGAGUGACGGCUAACUACGUGCCUGCAGCCGCGGUAAUCUGAGCGGGCUGGCAAGGC